UCCCCGUCCGCCGCCGCCGCCCCCAUCCUCCCCGUCCGCCGCCGUCCCCAUCCUCCCCGUCCGCCGUCGCGCCGUCGCGGGUCUCCUCGCGCAAGCGCACAACCUCCGCCAAGGCCGCGCCCGAGGCCGACCGCGGGGCUCCUCGGCCAAGCGCGUGGCUACCGCCAAGGCCGCGCCCGAGGCUGACAAGAAGGCCACGGUCACCAAGCGCCCGCACGAAGGGAACCACGUCGGGGAAGAAGAAGUCGGCCCCAAGUCCGUCGCUGCUGCACGCCCUCUCUAGCCGCCUCUCAUCGUCCUCGCGCUCGGCAAAAGGAGGACGAGGACGUUGAGCGGACAUAGGCUAUCACUCUCUCUGCGGGCGAGCCCGAGUGCUACGGCAUUAGCGAGGACCUCCGCGAGUUUGUCAACGGCAUGACCAUGAGUUGGAGCUGUCGGGUGUGUCCACGGCAAAUAGAGGAAGAGAGAUUCCAAAGGGAGCAAUCUAGACGAGCAGAGAAACAAAGACAAAAGGAGGAACUCAGAAAAGAGAAAUAGAUGGCGAGGCAGAUGAGCGCUUGGAAUUGACUGCGCAAAGCAAAGGGUUACCCUCAAUGCUUUGUCUUGAUAGUGACACAUUGCAGCAGUUGGAGUCAUUCUGAGGGCAAAGUAUGUUGUUGGCACUGCUAAAGAAUCGAUGGCCAAGGCUGGUGGAGGCACAAAAUGGCUUGCCUGACAGGGAACUACCGGAGGUAAUCGAGGGUCUUUGUACCUUGCCAGGCGUUGGUCCAAAAGUUGCAGCCUGCAUUUGUCUGUUCUCUCUUGAUAAGAAUCAGGUUAUUCAUGUUGACACACACGUCUGGAAGGUAUGCUAUGUCUGGUUAACCAUUGUUGUAUUCUUGCUGUAAAAACGACUUAAUGAGGUGUGCUUUUCCACCACUAUAUUCUCUGUUCAUUAUCACAAAAUUAGGAUGAUCUGAUUGGGUUUAGUUAUAAUAGUAGUUUUCUGCUGAUAAGAAUCAGGUUAUUCCUGUUGACACACACGUCUGGAAGGUAUGCUAUGUCUGGUUAACCAUUGUUGUAUUCUUGCUGUAAAAACGACUUAAUGAGGUGUGCUUUUCCACCACUAUAUUCUCUGUUCAUUAUCACAAAAUUAGGAUGAUCUGAUUGGGUUUAGUUAUAAUAGUAGUUUUCUGCUGAUAAGAAUCAGGUUAUUCCUGUUGACACACAUGUCUGGAAGGUAUGCUAUGUCUGGUUAACCAUUGUUGUAUUCUUGCUGUAAAAAUGACUUAAUGAGGUGUGCUUUUCCACCACUAUAUUCUCUGUUCAUUAUCACAAAAUUAGGAUGAUCUGAUUGGGUUUAGUUAUAAUAGUAGUUUUCUGUUGGGUAACAACAUGUUCAAGGCUUCACCUAGAUGAAUUGUACGAGUUUGGACCAUGAUAACAACUAUACAUUUCCUAAAUGGAUCAUGUUUAAAUUUCAUGGUGUGUGGGUGCACCUAUUCUAAAUUACUAUAUUGUUGGGAACUAAAACUUUCAUCCUUUGAAAUGCAAUGGAACUUAUAAAGUAAACAACCACCACUGAAAUUUAUACACAAUGCAUGCUCUGUUUCAGAAUGAGAACAUGUUUUGUGGUAUCAAAAAUACAUUUGAACCUUGAGGAUGCAUGGUGGCAGUCAUCCCGCUGGACCAUGCCAUCAAUGGUAGCUAUACGACCUGCCCGUGCUUGCAGGUGUUAAUGUGGUCGUCCGUUUCCCGGACUACGAGGUUGGAUAAAUCAUACAAGUUGAAUGUGCUUGCAACCGGGAACCCGAUAUAUAUAGGCCCGAAUUAAGAUUUUAACCUAUUCCAAAGAGCCAACCGUUCGAGCUAGCCACGCUGUGAAAUGGCCGAGCAACAACAAUCUGACAUACAUCAGUCGACGAUGAAGAUCAGAUACGUAAUUUUACCUAUAAGCUUAUUUGCUUCGGAGGCUUAUUGUACUGCUACAGUUUUCUCCACGGCACGGACUCGAUGCCGGCGACCCUGCCGUUUCCACACCACCUUGAGGAGAAGCGCAACAUGACAAAUCAUAUUUUACUGUCCCUGUUUCCCGGUUUCCACAUCACGGCGACUCGAUCCGCCGCUCUCGGCCAUGGCACGCCUGAAUCAGUCAGAUUUAUCGAGGGACAAGACUGGCAAGCGCUCCUCCGUGUCGAUCUUCGACCGAGGUAGAUUGGUGAACUCAAGAGGCUGUUGGAGGGGGGUCAAGUAUGUUGGGUUAUAGAGGCGAGCCCCGACACAAUCAGGCAUUCUUACGUUAUGCACCUGAUCUCUACCAUGUAGAUGGAAUGGUCUAUGUGGGCUUGCCCGAGAUUGCCCCUCUUUGCAGGUGAAUUGGGCACUUUACAAACUCGACUUGUGUGCUUCCAUAAUCAAUAGUCCCGAUUGAAUGAGUUGUAUCGGUGAUGUAAACUCGCUUCAUGUAUGUAAUCAGUGUGACUUACUGUGCACAUAUAAGCUCUGAUAUAUUGUUCAUACACUUCUUA